UACGAAGGGGGCUAGCGUUGCUCGGAAUUACUGGGCGUAAAGCGCACGUAGGCGGCUUCUUAAGUCGAUGGUGAAAUCCUGGAGCUCAACUCCAGAACUGCCUUCGAUACUGGGAAGCUCGAGUCCGGGAGAGGUGAGUGGAACUGCGAGUGUAGAGGUGAAAUGCGUAGAUAUCCGUAGGAACAUCCGAGGCGAAGGCGGCUCGCUGGAUCACAACUGACGCUGAGGGACGAAAGCUAGGGGAGCAAACAGG
rnacentral:rRNA from 1 species